GGGUAAUAAAACCUAAAGGCAAAACAAAAGUAAAGAAAGCUUUGCUUUUUAAGGGAAGAGGGUUAAAUUUUAGCCCGCACUCCCGGGGCGUUAAUUACUCAUUACGAGUAAAGGCGCACCUAGAGCGUACAUGUUGGGUCCCGAAAGAUGGUGAACUAUACCUGACCAGGAUGAAGCCAGGGGAAACCCUGGUGGAGGUCCGUAGCGAUUCUGACGUGCAAAUCGAUCGUCAGAGUUAGGUAUAGGGGCAAAGAUUAUUCAA
rnacentral:rRNA from 1 species